AGAGAGGUGGCCGAGUGGUCGAAGGCGCACGCCUGGAACGCGUGUAUGGGGCAACUCAUCGAGGGUUCGAAUCCCUUCCUCUCUGCCA
rnacentral:tRNA from 1 species